GAUGACAAGCAACCUUUUGACGAGACACGCAACGAAAUUCAUGGUUUUGUCACCAAUAGUCUUGCGCCCAUCAAGAGGUGCUUUUAUUUU
rnacentral:misc_RNA from 1 species